rnacentral:rRNA from 1 species
CCUACGGGAGGCAGCAGUAGGGAAUAUUGCUCAAUGGUGGAAACCCUGAAGCAGCAACGCCGCGUGGAGGAUGAAGGUUUUCGGAUCGUAAACUCCUUUUGUUAGAGAAGAUAAUGACGGUAUCUAACGAAUAAGCACCGGCUAACUCCGUGCCAGCAGCCGCGGUAAUACGGAGGGUGCAAGCGUUACUCGGAAUCACUGGGCGUAAAGAGCGCGUAGGCGGGAUAGCAAGUCAGAUGUGAAAUCCUAUGGCUUAACCAUAGAACUGCAUUUGAAACUGUUAUUCUAGAGUAUGGGAGAGGUAGGUGGAAUUCUUGGUGUAGGGGUAAAAUCCGUAGAGAUCAAGAGGAAUACUCAUUGCGAAGGCGACCUGCUAGAACAUAACUGACGCUGAUGCGCGAAAGCGUGGGGAGCAAACAGGAUUAGAUACCCGUGUAGUC